ensembl:lincRNA
AAUAUAAUGUAGUGAAAAUGCAGAAUCUGUGCUGUGUUAUUAAUCCUAGAUGUGAAGUUGAGCUCUGAUCAUCUGUUGUGUAAAAGCAGAAGUGAAUGUGAGCAUUGAGGAGGUUUUUGUCAUGAUGUGAAUCACUGUGAUACCCACUCUUUAGCAGAGCUGUCAUAUGUCUAACAGUAAUACACUGCAGAAUCACUCACAUCCACAUUACGUAUGAUCAGACUAUAAUCUGAUUUAGAUGAAUGUGUUGAUGUGAAUUUAGGAGCAGAGAAACCAGAUCCAUAGCUAGGUGAUCUCCAGCCAUGAUAAAAUCUUAACACAUACUGAGGAACUCCUGCUGCAGUCUGCUUGUACCAUCUAGCUUCAGAAUCAGUCACAGUGCCCAGAUUACAGUCCAGUUGAGCGGUUUGUCCUUUACUGACUGUGAUUACUGGACUCUGAGUCACUACAGUCACUCCACUGACACCUGCAGAACAAACACAAGCUUUACAUGAGAUCGUGUGUCCAACACUUUAAACUGUCCAUCAGACAUGAGGAAACUCACAGGUCAGAAGAGUGCAGACAGAGCAGAAUAUUGAGAUCAUCUUGUGAUUUGGUGUCUGUGACGUGUAAAGAUGAGCAGUGCUGUAGAAUAAAGCUGAGAUGAUCAGAGAGAGAAACUUGAAGACUGUAGAGACACUAAAAGAGACGCCCGCCUCAGUUUCACAGUCAUUUACAUAAACCUGCUGAGAUAACAGGUGUCUCCUGAGCGUGCGCAUGUACAGUUAUGUGAGUCAGGGUUCACUGCAUCCACUUCAGGUCAUAAUUCACGUCUCUCUGCUCUUCAUUGAUGUGUGUUUUAUGCAGAUAAACAUCAGGAAGAGCAGAAAACAGUCACUAAUUCUAGAGCAAUAUCAGAUGAAUCCCACACAUAAUCCUCUCUAGCUGUGGUUUGUAAUGAAGGUGUAAAUGUUUUAGUGAGUUUGUUCUGUAUCUGCAGGGCUGAAGAUGUGCUGUGAGGAUCUGACUUCAGUAAGGAUCAGACCCGGGUCUCCUGUGCUCUGACUCUCAGCUCUUCUAAACUGAGCUUCACUUCACAAUGACUGAAUUCAGGAGCAGAAGAUGAAGAAGCCGUCUAAAGCGGUCGAGUUCAGUAAAAGAAGAAACUAAUUCUUCAGUCAGAGACACAAAAUAAUAAAUGAAACUUCAUUUCUCAGCAUUUCUCCACUAACAGAAGCUCAAAACUGAACUGAUAAAGCUUUAGACAGGAGCUGCUCUUCUGCCACUAAUAAUUCACUGUGUUAAGCACUGAUAUUAGAGUUAU